UCACUUUCAGCUGCUCUGAGUAAUGGGCAUGGUCUCAGCCCGGAGUACAGUUUUCCCUUUCAUGCAUCCUUAACAAAGAACUAGCGUUUUCCACCAAGCCUCUUGUAACAUACCCAGCUAGCAAAGGCUCUUGCUAACUAACCCGUGUUUACUUGCUUGCGCUGGCGACCAAGCCGUAAUUAACGAUGCUGUAAUUAACAAUGCCGGUCUUGUUAUCAGAGUCUCCCGGGAACACUGUGAGCGGACUCGCCUGCUGAAAUGAGUUGAACCUCUCUGGAUACAUCGUCACCGGUAAACCCAGAGGUGGGCCUCCUAGGCCCAAAUCCAGUCAACUGGACAAUGAAGAUCACCCAUCACAUAUAUAUUUGGACUUAUUCCGACUAUUCCUGUGUUGUCUUUUGCACUACUUUCUUGGUUUAUUUCUUUAUUGAUUUGUCUGCUCCAUUGAAUCCUUUUCUCUGAGUUUUGUGUUGUAUUACAAGUUCUGUGCCAAUUCUUGGUGUGUUUUGUUGUUCCUUUUUGUAUGCAAAUUUGCUUUAUGAGAAUAUUUAGUAGUAAACUGUAGCUGCAUAAAAGGAUUAUAAUUUUUUUGAAAGUUGGAGUACAUUUUAAAGCUUAACUUCCUUUUGAAUUUUCCCCAUGAUCUCAUCCCAAUCUGUAAAAUAAUAGUACCAUCAAGAAUUUUAGCUGGACGUGGUGGCACAUGCCUUUAAUCCCAGCACUUGGGAGGCAGAGGCAGGUGGAUUUCUGAGUUCGAGGCCAGCCUGGUCUACAAAGUGAGUUUCAGGACAGCCAGGGCUAUACAGAGAAACCCUGUCUUGAAAACCAAAAAAAAAAAAAAAAAAGAAAAAGAAGAAGAAUUCUAAUCAAACUAUGUCCUCAUAUCUGAAAUGAUUCUAAGAAAUCUUUUACAAAAAUUAUUUUAUUAUAUUUUAAUUAUGUAUUUUUCUAUGGUUUUGUGCACGUGAAGGCUGAGUCCGAAGAGGUCAGAAGAGGGUGUGGGAUACCCUGGAGUUGGCAGCACAGAUGGCUCUGAGCUGCAUGAUGAGAACGCUGAGAACCAAGUUUGGGUUCUCUGGAAAGCACUGUUCGUUCUUAGCACUGAGCCAUGUUUUCACAAUUACUUGGAUUUUUUUUUGUAGGUGAUGAUUCUGGAGACUAUGAGAAUAAUUUUUAUUUUGAUCUUAAACAUGCAUUCUAAUUUCAGUAAAUGCACCCAUGUAGUCUCAAAAUAACAAAUCCUCACAAGUUUGGGAGGGAUUGAUCUAUUGAUUUCUAGAUGCUAGCCAAUGUUUCAAUAAAACCUCUCGACACAAA
rnacentral:lncRNA from 1 species